rnacentral:rRNA from 1 species
AACGAACGCUGGCGGCAUGCCUAACACAUGCAAGUCGAACGAGACCUUCGGGUCUAGUGGCGCACGGGUGCGUAACGCGUGGGAAUCUGCCCUUGGUUCGGAAUAACAGUUAGAAAUGACUGCUAAUACCGGAUAAUGUCUUCGGACCAAAGAUUUAUCGCCCAGGGAUGAGCCCGCGUAGGAUUAGCUAGUUGGUGAGGUAAAGGCUCACCAAGGCGACGAUCCUUAGCUGGUCUGAGAGGAUGAUCAGCCACACUGGGACUGAGACACGGCCCAGACUCCUACGGGAGGCAGCAGUGGGGAAUAUUGGACAAUGGGCGAAAGCCUGAUCCAGCAAUGCCGCGUGAGUGAUGAAGGCCUUAGGUUGUAAAGCUCUUUUACCCGGGAUGAUAAUGACAGUACCGGGAG